GAUGAAGACGUAGCGAAAUGCGAUAAGUAAUGUGAAUUGCAGAAUUCAGUGAAUCAUCGAAUCUUUGAACGCACAUUGCGCCCCUUGGUAUUCCGGGGGGCAUGCCUGUUCGAGCGUCAUUACAACCCUCAAGCUCUGCUUGGUCUUGGGCGUCACCGGUCCCCGGUGUGCCUUAAAAUCAGUGGCGGCGCCAUCUGGCUCUAAGCGUAGUACAUACUCUCGCUACAGACGUCCGGUGGAUGCUGGCCAGCAACCCCCAAUUUAUCAAGGUUGACCUCGGAUCAGGUAGGGAUACCCGCUGAACUUAAGCAUAUCAAUAAGCGGAGGA
rnacentral:misc_RNA from 1 species